GGCUCCGUAGCUUUGUGUUUAGCACACUGUUCUUGUAAACCAGGGGUUGUAAGUUCAGUUCUUGCUGGGGCCU
rfam:Xenopus tropicalis strain Nigerian Chr04_contig_1300, whole genome shotgun sequence.